CGUACGGACGCGUAACACAUGCUCAACCUACCUCUCACUGGGGAAUCGCCCCUCUAAAGGAAGAUUGACACCCCCUAAUAUACCGAUUGGCAUCAAUUAUGACCGGCAACUCCGGUGGAUAUAGAUGGGCACGCUCACUCUCAUAUCGUUGGUGAGGUCACGGCUGACCACCACUGAGAUCUUCAGGGGCCCUGAGAGGGAGAUCCCCCACCCUGGUACUGAGACACGGACCUCACUCCUCCUGGAGGCAGCAGCGAGGAAUAUUGGACAAUGGGUGAAAGACUGAUCCAGCCAUCCCGCGUGAAGGUAGACAGUCCUAUGGAUUGUAAACUACUUUUGCACAGGAAUAAACCUACUCUCGUGAGAGUAUCUGAAGGUACUGCACGAAUAAGCACCGGCUAACUCCGUGCCAGCAGCCGCGGUAAUACAGAGGGUGCGAGCGUAAUCGGGAUUUACUGGGCGUAAAGCGUGCGUAGGCGGCUUUUUAGUCGGAUGUGAAAUCCCUGAGCUUAACUUAGGAAUUGCAUUCGAAACUGGAAAGCUAGAGUAUGGGAGAGGAUGGUAGAAUUCCAGGUGUAGCGGUGAAAUGCGUAGAGAUCUGGAGGAAUACCGAUGGCGAAGGCAGCCAUCUGGCCUAAUACUGACGCUGAGGUACGAAAGCAUGGGGAGCAAACAGGAUUAGAUACCCUGGUAGUCCAUGCCGUAAACGAUGUCUACUAGCCGUUGGGGCCUUUGAGGCUUUAGUGGCGCAGCUAACGCGAUAAGUAGACCGCCUGGGGAGUACGGUCGCAAGACUAAAACUCAAAUGAAUUGACGGGGGCCCGCACAAGCGGUGGAGCAUGUGGUUUAAUUCGAUGCAACGCGAAGAACCUUACCUGGCCUUGACAUACUAAGAACUUUCCAGAGAUGGAUUGGUGCCUUCGGGAACUUAGAUACAGGUGCUGCAUGGCUGUCGUCAGCUCGUGUCGUGAGAUGUUGGGUUAAGUCCCGCAACGAGCGCAACCCUUUUCCUUAUUUGCCAUCGGGUAAUGCCGGGAACUUUAAGGAUACUGCCAGUGACAAACUGGAGGAAGGCGGGGACGACGUCAAGUCAUCAUGGCCCUUACGGCCAGGGCUACACACGUGCUACAAUGGUCGGUACAAAGGGUUGCUACCUCGCGAGAGGAUGCUAAUCUCAAAAAGCCGAUCGUAGUCCGGAUCGCAGUCUGCAACUCGACUGCGUGAAGUCGGAAUCGCUAGUAAUCGCGGAUCAGAAUGCCGCGGUGAAUACGUUCCCGGGCCU
rnacentral:rRNA from 1 species